GACGAACGCUGGCGGCGUGCUUAACACAUGCAAGUCGAACGGAAAGGCCCUGCUUUUGUGGGGUGCUCGAGUGGCGAACGGGUGAGUAACACGUGAGUAACCUGCCCUUGACUUUGGGAUAACUUCAGGAAACUGGGGCUAAUACCGGAUAGGAGCUCCUGCUGCAUGGUGGGGGUUGGAAAGUUUCGGCGGUUGGGGAUGGACUCGCGGCUUAUCAGCUUGUUGGUGGGGUAGUGGCUUACCAAGGCUUUGACGGGUAGCCGGCCUGAGAGGGUGACCGGCCAAAUUGGGAAUGAGAUACGGCCCAGAAUCCUACGGGAGGCAGCAGUGGGGAAUAUUGCAAAAUGGGCGGAAGCCUGAUGCAGCAACGCCGCGUGCGGGAUGACGGCCUUCGGGGUGUAAACCGCUUUCGCCUGUGACGAAGCGUGAGUGACGGUAAUGGGUAAAGAAGCACCGGCUAACUACGUG
rnacentral:rRNA from 1 species